ensembl:rRNA 5S_rRNA 5S ribosomal RNA
GUGUACAGCCAUACCACCCUGAACGUGCCUGAUCUCGUCUGAUCUCGUAAGCUAAGCAGGGUUGGGCCUGGUUAGUACUUGGAUGGGAGAAAGCACAUGACUUAAUAUU